UGUAAGCGUAUACCAAAGUUGUUGCAGUUAAAACGCUCGUAGUCGGAAUAUGGCAGUUCCGGAUGUGUGCACGUCGUGUGCGCACUUCGCGGGGAUUGCUUUUGUGGUCUUGCGUAGGAUGAGGCACUUUUAUUAGUGAACGUCCUCACGCAACCACUUUUUACUGUGAGAAAAUCAGAGUGCUCAAAGCAGGCAUUUGCCGUGAAUGUAUUAGCAUGGAAUAAUAGAAUAGGACUUGGUUCUAUUUUGUUGGUUUGUUGGGACUGAGUAAUGAUUAAGAGGGACAGUUGGGGGCAUUUGUAUUUCGGUGCUAGAGGUGAAAUUCUUAGAUUACCGAAAGACAAACUGCUGCGAAAGCGUCUGCCAAGGAUGUUUUCAUUGA
rnacentral:rRNA from 1 species